AGUCUUUAAGGUCUUUACUGAUCAUGUGAUUGGGUCCUGGGUAAAGUGAUCUCGUGUUCCUUGGUUGUCUUCGGGGUUUUAAGCUUUAAAACAACCUCUUCUGGGCUUCAAAGUUCUUUUUAUUUGGUCCGUCCCACCACGGGUUAUUCACAAGCUUCCCAGUGAUUACAAGCAAGGCCUACGCUUGUCUUUCCGGGGUGAAUCCCACGUCAGGUGAACGAAGAUGUAUGUGAUUGGCCAAUUAGGUUAUCUCCUAGGCAACCUCUAACACACGUAUCUAAGCACUGAAGGCUGAUUUGCUGUGUCAGGAAGCAUGGCCUAGGGGUCUACACUAGGACGAUGGCUUUUCUUUUGUUCCUGCUUUCUUUCUUUCUGAAUUCAUCCUUUGCACAAUAUGGCUCGCUUCAUCCCUACGGAAAUAGCAGAGGACACGUUUACCUUGUGACUUACCCACAGACAGCGCUGAUAGGAGCAUGCGCCGUGCCUCGACUGGAUCGCAGCACCACUCGGCCAUUUCUUGAUCUCUUUCAUACAGGUGUCCAUGUCACUGCCUAACGGUUUCUCUCACCAAAAUAUAAAAGAUUAAACGGUGCUAAUUUAGCUUCACAAGCAA